GAUGAACGCUAGCGGCAGGCUUAAUACAUGCAAGUCGUGGGGCAGCAUGGGGUAGCAAUACUCUGAUGGCGACCGGCAAACGGGUGCGGAACACGUACGCAACCUUCCCAAAACUGGUGAAUAGCCCUCCGAAAGGAGGAUUAAUACACCGUAACAUAACGAAGUGGCAUCACUUUGUUAUUAUAGCUCCGGCGGUUUUGGAUGGGCGUGCGCCUGAUUAGGUAGUUGGCGGGGUAACGGCCCACCAAGCCUACGAUCAGUAACUGGUGUGAGAGCACGACCAGUCACACGGGCACUGAGACACGGGCCCGACUCCUACGGGAGGCAGCAGUAAGGAAUAUUGCACAAUGGACGAAAGUCUGAUGCAGCAACGCCGCGUGGAGGAUGACACUUUUCGGAGCGUAAACUCCUUUUAUAUAGGAAGAUAAUGACGGUACUAUAUGAAUAAGCACCGGCUAACUCCGUGCCAGCAGCCGCGGUAAAGUACAGUGU
rnacentral:rRNA from 1 species